rnacentral:rRNA from 1 species
GAUCAGGUUGUUGGUGGGGCAACGGCUCACCAAGCCUAUAACCGGUACGGGCCGUGAGAGCGGGAGCCCGGAGAUGGGCACUGAGACAAGGGCCCAGGCCCUACGGGGCGCAGCAGUCGCGAAAACUCCGCAAUGCGCGAAAGCGUGACGGGGCUAUCCCGAGUGCCGUCCGCUGAGGAUGGCUUUUUCUCGGUGUAAUGAGCCGGGAGAAUAAGGAGAGGGCAAGUCUGGUGUCAGCCGCCGCGGUAAUACCAGCUCUCCGAGUGGUAGGGAUGAUUAUUGGGCUUAAAGCGUCCGUAGCCGGCUUGGCAAGUCUCCUGUUAAAUUCAGCGACCUAAUCGUUGAGCCGCGGGAGACACUACUAGGCUAGGAGGCGGGAGAGGCCGACGGUAUUUUUGGGGUAGGGGUGAAAUCCUAUAAUCCCAGGAGGACCACCAGUGGCGAAGGCUGUCGGCUAGAACGCGCUCGACGGUGAGGGACGAAAGCUGGGGGAGCGAACCGGAUUAGAUACCCGGGUAGUCCCAGCUGUAAACGAUGCGGGCUAGGUGUUGGGGUGGCUACGAGCCACUUCAGUGCCGCAGGGAAGCCAUUAAGCCCGCCGCCUGGGGAGUACGGCCGCAAGGCUGAAACUUAAAGGAAUUGGCGGGGGAGCACCACAAGGCGUGAAGCUUGCGGUUCAAUUGGAUUCAACGCCGGAA